UACAGAGGCCCCAAGUGUUGUUCGGAAUUAUUGGGCGUAAAGAGUGAGCAGGCGGGGAGUCAAGUCAAACUACAAAUCCAAGCGCUCAACGUUUGUUAUAGAUUUGAUACUGACUUUCUUGGGUGCCGGAGAGGACGUUGGAAUUCACGGUGUAGCAGUGAAAUGCGUAGAUAUUGUGAGGAACACCAAUGGCGAAAGCAAACGUCUUGCCGGUUACUGACGCUCAGUCACGAAGGCUAGGGUAGCAAACGGG
rnacentral:rRNA from 1 species